UACGAAGGGGGCUAGCGUUUUUCGGAAUUACUGGGCGUAAAGCGCACGCAGGCGGACUGUUAAGUCAGGGGUGAAAUCCCGAGGCUCAACCUCGGAAUUGCCUUUGAUACUGCCAGUCUCGAGUCCGGGAGAGGUGAGUGGAAUUCCUAGUGUAGAGGUGAAAUUCGUAGAUAUUAGGAAGAACACCAGUGGCGAAGGCGGCUCACUGGCCCGGUACUGACGCUCAGGUGCGAAAGCGUGGGGAGCAAACAGG
rnacentral:rRNA from 1 species